CUUACUCCUAUUAAGCGAAUUUGAUUUAAUAUUUGAGUUAUCAAUAAAAGUAUAGUUACGCUUUUUACACAUUUCCUUAAUUCCAUUAUUCACUUCCGGUAUUUUGUUGUUGACUUGGACAUUUUCUCGCCAUGUGAUGCCUGAAACCCCAAUUUUGGCAUUUGCAAAUUUGUUUUUUACAGUUAAGCAUAAAUUAUCAAUAUGCUCCAUGCAAACACUACCAGAUUCUUCUGGUAGAUUGUUUGUGCCGGCAUGUAUGAUGACAUGAGCGUGUGACUCAUGAAUAUCACUGUUUUGAACCUCCAAAGCAAUUUCAUUGGCGGUUUUCCCGGGUUAGCAGAAUUUGUGGACUUUCCGUGCUGACAUUUUCUCAGGAAUAAUAUCUUUUAUCACCGAGUCCACAAUUAGUACAAUGCUUUGUUUUUGAUCAAGCCUUUCCUGCUCAAUUUGCGGGUAGUAGGUGUUUUGGGUUUGCCUGUCCGAAGUUGUUGGUUGGUUAUGAGGCCGGGUCGGUUGAUAGAAUUCUCUCUCGAGAGGAGUACAAUUCUUGAGAAAUGUUUGCUACUUGACAAACCUCAAUUAUUUCAGAAUUAUGAAUUUGUCCUGAGUGAUGUAUUAUUGAAUGACCAGAAUCGUGGUUCUGUUCUGCUUGGUG
rnacentral:lncRNA from 1 species